AAACGACUCUCGGCAACGGAUAUCUCGGCUCACGCAUCGAUGAAGAACGUAGCAAAAUGCGAUACUUGGUGUGAAUUGCAGAAUCCCGUGAACCAUCGAGUUUUUGAACGCAAGUUGCGCCCAAGGCCAUCCGGCUGAGGGCACGUCUGCCUGGGCGUCAC
rnacentral:rRNA from 2 species